UGUUGUGUCGCUGGUGGAGUUUCAACGUUCAACUGGUUUUUGCUUGUUGCUGGCAAACCAGCAUAAAUUAGAACUAGUUUCACUGUGUUUUUUUUUACAACUUACAAGCCUUAUUAUUCAUCGUUGAUUCGUUUACGACCGACUCAUCGAUCUUCAUCGGUGGUUUCCGGUUUUUUACCUUCCCCGAACCGAGCGCAAUUGUGUUCUGAAAAGCAGAUAAGACCACAACAAAAGCACUGCACGGCCAACGCAAACAAAAACUGGUCGCUGAUGUUGACGAUUGGUUUGCUGAUCGGUCGAGAGAAAGUGAACGAACGAAAUCGAUUUUCGGUCAGGUUUCCUGUGAUGUUUUUCGAGUGAGAAGAAGACCAGCGAGCGAUCACUUCAAGUGAUCGAAGAUCGAACACAUAGGUAUAGUGCCCUUUAAAAUUGCCGAUCUUCAUCGGUUUGCUAGAGGCUAGUAGUGUGAAGCAGCGUACCGGUUGGCCCGCGGAGGAUAUACCUAUGUGCCAAUGAAUGGUGUGUGAAUCCUGUGUGGGUGAUGCUCAGUUCACAUGCCGCGACGAAGUGAUUUCUAUGAAUAUUCAAAUCGUCAAAUAAAUUUGCAUAAUUUAAACGGCUGUAGCCGCGGCGGCAAGAGUGUGUGCAGUUAAUUGGAGAUUCCGAGGAGGUAACAGAGAUGUUUUUGUGUAUCGAAAGUGUCUUGGUCUGACGAUCUAUGGUCUUAGGUUCUAAGUGCUAAGAAAAGUUGUUCUGUUUUUAUGAUACCUGCCCUGCAUAUCAGUUGGCAUAUCUAGUGUGGAUUUGAAAGCGGUUCUCAUAACUUCAAGGUAACUUCAAGAGAUUCCACUUGUUUCAGAAGCCGGUCUGCAAAACGAAACUGGAUUAUUGCGGUACUUGAAGCUGACUGACUGUCCGUUACCGUUGCUGAGAAUCUUUUUUAGGCCAUCAUCACCAUUGGGUAGCAGUUCACUGGCUAGGGCUGAACGGCGGUAGUAAGACGGAGACAACUUCCGUGUGAAAAUCGUUCAACCGCUUCCUCGUUGAGACACUUGUCCAGCAGCGCCCGGUUCACAGUGGAGAAGAAGCUAGG